UAGAGUUUGAUCCUGGCUCAGAACGAACGCUGGCGGCAGGCUUAACACAUGCAAGUCGAGCGCCCCGCAAGGGGAGCGGCAGACGGGUGAGUAACGCGUGGGAAUCUACCGUACCCUACGGAAUAACGCAUGGAAACGUGUGCUAAUACCGUAUACGCCCUUAGGGGGAAAGAUUUAUCGGGGUAUGAUGAGCCCGCGUUGGAUUAGCUAGUUGGUGGGGUAAAGGCCUACCAAGGCGACGAUCCAUAGCUGGUCUGAGAGGAUGAUCAGCCACAUUGGGACUGAGACACGGCCCAAACUCCUACGGGAGGCAGCAGUGGGGAAUAUUGGACAAUGGGCGCAAGCCUGAUCCAGCCAUGCCGCGUGAGUGAUGAAGGCCUUAGGGUUGUAAAGCUCUUUCACCGGUGAAGAUAAUGACGGUAACCGGAGAAGAAGCCCCGGCUAACUUCGUGCCAGCAGCCGCGGUAAUA
rnacentral:rRNA from 1 species